ACAAUGCGCGAAAGCGUGAUGGGGUUAGCCCGAGUGCUAUCCGAAAAGGAUGGCUUUUCCUUGGCGUAAAAACCCAGGGGAAUAAAGGGGGGGCAAGACUGGUGUCAGCCGCCGCGGUAAUACCAGCUCCCUGAGUGGUAAGGAUGAUUAUUUGGCUUAAAGCGUCCGUAGCCGGCUUAGUGAGUCUUUUGUUAAAUCCAAUGAUUCAAUCAUUGAACUGCAAGAGAUACUGCUAUGCUAGAGGACGGGAGAGGUCGACGGUAGUCCAGGGGUAGGGGUGAAAUCCUAUAAUCCUUGGAGGACCACCAGUGGCGAAGGCGGUCGACUAGAACGUGCCUGACGGUGAGGGACGAAAGCUGGGGGAGCGAACCGGAUUAGAUACCCGGGUAGUCCCAGCCGUAAACGAUGCGGGCUAGGUGUAGGGGCAGCUACGAGCUGCUCCUGUGCCGCAGAGAAAUUGUUAAGCCCGCCGCCUGGGGAGUACGAUCGCAAGAUUGAAACUUAA
rnacentral:rRNA from 1 species